rnacentral:lncRNA from 1 species
GUGGGCGGUGCUAGUAGCGGGAGGAGUAAAGAUGGCGGCGCGGGGGCCUCCGCCUUCAUUCCCUGGCUGAAGCCCUCCGAGGGAGGCGACGGUGGCCACACAGGGCUACCAACAGUCUGGUGGUGGUAGUUUUGGCAGCAGCUGCGGAAGCUCGAGCCAUGGCGGAGCUGGAACACCUGGGAGGGAAGCGAGCAGAGUCGGCGCGAGCCCGGCGGGCUGAGCAGCUGCGGCGCUGGCGGGGCUCGCUGACAGAGCAGGAGCCCGCGGAGCGACAGGGCGCGGGGCGCCAGCUGCAGACCAGACGCGGGAGCCCCAGGGUCCGCUUCGAGGAUGGUGCGGUCUUUCUGGCUGCC